rnacentral:rRNA from 1 species
UACGAGGGGGGCAAAUGUUGUUCGGAAUCACUGGGCAUAAAGGGCGCGUAGGCGGCUCCAAAAGUCAGGGGUGAAAUCCGGCAGCUUAACUGUCGCAGUGCCCUUGAUACUGUGGAGCUAGAGGGAGGUAGGGGUCUGUGGAACUUCCGGUGGAGCGGUGAAAUGCGUUGAUAUCGGAAGGAACGCCGGUGGCGAAAGCGACGGACUGGAUCUCUUCUGACGCUGAGGCGCGAAAGCCAGGGGAGCAAACGGG